UGAUAGCGUGGAAGCGGAGGUUGCUGUAAACGCAGGUUUACAGGUUAUUUCGUGGAGCGAAUGUCAAGUUCAGAGAAACUGACGACAA
rnacentral:ncRNA from 1 species